UACGGAGGGUGCAAGCGUUAUCCGGAUUCACUGGGUUUAAAGGGUGCGUAGGUGGGUAUGUAAGUCAGUGGUGAAAUCUCCGUGCUUAACACGGAAACUGCCAUUGAUACUAUGUUUCUUGAAUUUUCCGGAGGUCAGCGGAAUAUGUCAUGUAGCGGUGAAAUGCUUAGAUAUGACAUAGAACACCAAUGGCGAAGGCAGCUGACUGCAGGGACAUUGACACUGAGGCACGAAAGCGUGGGGAGCAAACAGG
rnacentral:rRNA from 1 species